GAGGCUGAUAUUGGAUGAAUCCUACCCGGUGAGGUAUUUAUAAUUUCCUAACCAAGCGGGAUUCCACCCGACAGCAGCCU
rnacentral:pre_miRNA from 1 species